CCUACGGGUGGCAGCAGUGAGGAAUAUUGGUCAAUGGACGAGAGUCUGAACCAGUCAAGUAGCGUGAAGGAUGACUGCCCUAUGGGUUGUAAACUUCUUUUAUAUGGGAAUAAAAUGUUCCACGUGUGGGAUUUUGUAUGUACCAUAUGAAUAAGGAUCGGCUAACUCCGUGCCAGCAGCCGCGGUAAUACGGAGGAUCCGAGCGUUAUCCGGAUUUAUUGGGUUUAAAGGGAGCGUAGGUGGAUUGUUAAGUCAGUUGUGAAAGUUUGCGGCUCAACCGUAAAAUUGCAGUUGAAACUGGCAGUCUUGAGUACAGUAGAGGUGGGCGGAAUUCGUGGUGUAGCGGUGAAAUGCUUAGAUAUCACGAAGAACUCCGAUUGCGAAGGCAGUUCACUGGACUGCAACUGACACUGAGGCUCGAAAGUGUGGGUAUCAAACAGGAUUAGAUACCCGUGUAGUC
rnacentral:rRNA from 1 species